rnacentral:lncRNA from 1 species
GUAUACAAAACAGCACAGCUGUGAGGAGGCUGCUCUGCUUUAUGUGACUGAAAAGCAGCCUGGUUAGCUCAAGGCUGUGGAAUCAGAGCCCAUUGUGUGUUCCUCAUACUUGGAGACUUCCCUGAAGUCCCUAGAAGUCCUGUGAAGAAGGAAUCAAGGGUCAAGUCUUUAAAAUGGAAACACAACAAGCUUUGACAGAAUUCAGAGGACUGGAAGACUUUGUCUGAAAGCUCAAACUGAAUUUGAAAAAUGUUACUGUAGUCCUCCUCUGGCAUUGUGACCUGGAUGCCUGCUGGCCCUGCUCUGCAAGGCUGAGGCUGCAUUCCACCUUUGACAUUUUGCCAUGAUCUUUCCAGUUUGAAGGGAGUGCUGGAAGUGGGGAAUCCCUCAAAGUGAUCUGUCAUCAGAAUUCUCAUUUAAAUGCAUUUUACUGUGUUCAGAAUAUUAAUUCCCACUGGACUCAACUCGCUUGGAAGUAAGAAUUUGCAACAACUAUGUCUUAAAUACUACUGUGAAACCUUUAGUGUAUUCUUCCAAAAUUGGUGCGGAGAACAUUAGUGUGAGACUCCUGCAAAAUCCACUGGACCUUGUAUCAUGACAAGAAGAGAAAACAAAGCAACUAUUAAAAAUCAGGGAGGAAAAUUGUUAGCAUGAUCUGCAUUAGUUUCAGUAUGUAUUUUAUUCUGUCAUUAGUUCAGUGUCAAAAUUCAGUUUGUAGCCAGCAGCUACCACCAACUGGCAGCAUGUGGCAUUUCUUAAGCAAAAGUUAAUUGUUAUUCUUUAAUGCUUGUUUUGUAUUGUAGCAGCUUUGCAGAAAUACCUUUCUAGAUAUUCUUAACUUUGUUUUUAUGAUAGUUUAACUUAGUUCAUGACUGCUAAGUAAUGCUAUGCUGUUUAAGUCUUCACAGGCAUUAAUGAUCAAAUCUGUAAAGGAGCAUGCUCUUAGUAAAACAGCAGGAUUGUUGUUUUUUUAUAUAUUUUUAAUAAAUUCUUCAGAAUUUUUAUGAUUUCCUGAAAAUAGAUAUAUUUAGUUUACUCCUGUGUGCUUAAAUUUACCUGGGUGUGAUAUUGACCAAAAUAGGUGGGGUCUCUUCUA